AGGUAAGACAUCUUAACAAUGGAACUAGAUUUAUUUAAAGAGAAGGAUUUCAAUUUGUAGUUCACAAGAUUGUUUUUUCUUUGUGCUAGUUUCUUAUCUUUUGCUGAAUAUCUAUUAUUUUGAAGAAUCCUUUCUUCUCAGUUCUGGACAUAAUUUCUUCCUGGAUAUAUAGAUUAUUUAGAUUCAUUCAUUCCAAAUCAGAGAUGAAAGAUUUCAACUUCAGGAUGCUUAGCAUCUCAUCUCAUUGAUCAUAACUUCUUCCUGGACAAUAGGGAUGGCUUUGUCAUUAAAGAUCUCCAACAUCAACUUGCAGAGAGUGGAGAAUGACAGAUUCAGAUCAUCAUCAUCAUCUCUUCUUUUCCUUUUUUCCCUUGUCCCUUUCAUCCAGGAAUUUGUCAUUUUUAUAUUGACAGCAGAACAAUUAGUAAUGACUCAAAUGUUGAAUCUAUUUCCCACACUAUACUGUGUCCUGGCUAAGAAAAACCCUGAUGUAAACAAACAAGAUGUAAAGAGGCUUAAAAGUUGUGACGUUAUUG
rnacentral:lncRNA from 1 species